CGUUUUACAACGCCACACGAUCCUCAUGCCGGCUCCUUCUGAACCAUCCUGAAUGCUGACUUUUGUAUUUUAAAUCCGACGUACGAGAGAUUAUCGAAAACUACAAAAUUGAAAGGCGAUCAAGUGAAGAAGCAGCCACAGAAAUUUUUAUCAUAUUUGUUUUAAUAUGUUAUUUAAAACAGUGUGGCGAAAUUCAAUUACAAAAUAUUAUUAAUUGAAUCACUCUGCGUAAUUGUGUUACCAUACCAAUUAUUAAUCUUCAGGGAAUUAUCCACGCUGCAAAAUAAAUUAAUUGGUAAGUUGAAUGCUAAUGAAAAAUGAUAUUUAUAGAAACAGGAAUUUAUUUAUACAUUUUAUAAAUAAACAUUGUGCACCUCGAUCGAAUAUAUGCAAAUAAAAUUAUAAAUCUUUGUCGGUUGCAAAUAUGAGCGUAUAAAAAUGUUACGAGUUAUCAGAUUUGAUUCGUAUCUUCGGUUUCCGGAUUGGAUUCAUCAUCAUCAUCAAAAUCCUGAAAGAUUUUUAAUUUAUCUCUUUCGCUAAAAAUAAUUGAAAGUCAUAUAUUUUUUGUUUAUAAAUUUUUAACAACUCACGUAUCAAUUUAAUCGAUAAUUGAACUAUCAGUAAGAUCGUUAAGUAACAUUAUUAGAAAAAUAUAGAACGAAUGGACGAUAUUGAAGAAGAGCAUAAUGAAGAAUAUGUAUACAUAGCAAAAGAAUAAGAAAGGUAUGAAAAUAAUGGUAACACCAAUAGUUGCCAAUGUUGUCAAUAUACUACCCAUAUUAUCUUUUCUUUCACGAAAUUCAAUUUUUAAUUCAUAUGUAACGAAUUUAGUAUUAGAUCGAAUUUUCUAACUUCUUAUUUUUUACAUACUUAAUGGAACAUAUUUUGUAAUCAAAAAAUUGCAUACCUCUUCUUCGUUUAUCGUACCAAUUGUAUUGAUAUCGAUCAAGUUAAAUAAGAGUAUAAAAUAAAUUGUGAGUGCUGCGUUAGCUAAAUUCGUUAGGUAUAAAGAAUAUAAAUAUGUUAUAUAUAAGAAUGGAAGAACAACUAAUUUCAAGUAAAUUAUAAUUAUUCCUCGUAAAAAGUGUCCCAUAUCCGAGAUGUAAAGAUUCUGUGUAGACAUCGGGUUAUUUAACUAGCUUCACUUAUUUUUCAAUCGGUACCGAUUCAUGUUUUCCGGAAGUAAACAAUUUUUUAUUUUGAAUUGUUUUAUUUUGAAAUGUAUAAAAAAAUAUACACAUAAAUAGAUAUAAGAAACAAUAACAACACACAUCUCGCAAAUUAUUAAUUUAUGUAAAUAUAAAAUACUGAAUUAUGUAAAGGUACUGUAUACUGAAUAAAAUAUUUAAGCAUCGAAGGUAGACUUCGAAAAAUCAUCCCGAA